CCUGGAAAACGGGUGGUAAUACCGGAUGCUCCGCUCCAUCGCAUGGUGGGGUGGGAAAUGCUUUUGCGGCAUGGGAUGGGGUCGCGUCCUAUCAGCUUGUUGGCGGGGUGAUGGCCCACCAAGGCGUUGACGGGUAGCCGGCCUGAGAGGGUGACCGGCCACAUUGGGACUGAGAUACGGCCCAGACUCCUACGGGAGGCAGCAGUGGGGAAUAUUGCACAAUGGGCGCAAGCCUGAUGCAGCGACGCCGCGUGCGGGAUGGAGGCCUUCGGGUUGUAAACCGCUUUUGUUCAAGGGCAAGGCACGGUUUCGGCCGUGUUGAGUGGAUUGUUCGAAUAAGCACCGGCUAACUACGUGCCAGCAGCCGCGGUAAUACGUAGGGUGCGAGCGUUAUCCGGAUUUAUUGGGCGUAAAGGGCUCGUAGGCGGUUCGUCGCGUCCGGUGUGAAAGUCCAUCGCCUAACGGUGGAUCUGCGCCGGGUACGGGCGGGCUGGAGUGCGGUAGGGGAGACUGGAAUUCCCGGUGUAACGGUGGAAUGUGUAGAUAUCGGAAAAGAACACCA
rnacentral:rRNA from 1 species